rnacentral:rRNA from 1 species
GAUGAACGCUGACAGAAUGCUUAACACAUGCAAGUCGACUUGAACUUCGGUUUGGGUGGCGGACGGGUGAGUAACGCGUAAAGAACUUGCCUCACAGCUAGGGACAACAUUUGGAAACGAAUGCUAAUACCUGAUAUUAUGAUUUUAGGGCAUCCUAGAAUUAUGAAAGCUAUAUGCGCUGUGAGAGAGCUUUGCGUCCCAUUAGCUAGUUGGAGAGGUAACGGCUCACCAAGGCGAUGAUGGGUAGCCGGCCUGGGAGGGUGAACGGCCACAAGGGGACUGAGACACGGCCCUUACUCCUACGGGAGGCAGCAGUGGGGAAUAUUGGACAAUGGACCAAGAGUCUGAUCCAGCAAUUCUGUGUGCACGAUGAAGUUUUUCGGAAUGUAAAGUGCUUUCAGUUGGGAAGAAAAAAAUGACGGUACCAACAGAAGAAGAGACGGCUAAAUACGUG